AAGUGGAAGUAAAAGGUUUAACAAGGUUUCCGUAGGAGAACCUGCGGAAGAAUCAUUAGCGAGUUUUGAACGGGUUGUAGCUGGCCUCCCGAGGCAUGUGCACGCCCUGCUCAUCCACUCUACACCUGUGCACUUAUUGUAGGUCGGCGUGGGCUUCAGGCCUCCGGGUCUGUGGCAUUCUGCCGAUCUAUGUACACUACAAACUCUAAAGUAUCAGAAAGUAAUCGCGUCUAACAAAAAUAUAUACAACUUUCAGCAACGGAUCUCUUGGCUCUCGCAUCGAUGAAGAACGCAGCGAAAUGCGAUAAGUAAUGUGAAUUGCAGAAUUCAGUGAAUCAUCGAAUCUUUGAACGCACCUUGCGCUCCUUGGUAUUCCGAGGAGCAUGCCUGUUUGAGUGUCAUUAAAUUCUCAAACUCUGAUUGAUUUGUUUCAAUCGGAGGUUUGGAUUUGGAGUGUGCCGGCGUCAAGUCGGCUCCUCUUGAAUGCAUCAGCGGAAUCCCAUUCAUUUCGGACGUCAGUGUGAUAAUCAUGUUGCGCUGUCUUUGCGAUCUUGAAAGCCCGCUCACAAUGGUCUUCGGACAAACCUCACAUAUCAUAUUUGACCUCAAAUCAGGUAGGACUACCCGCUGAACUUAAGCAUAUCAAUAAGCGGAGGAAAAGAAACUAACAAGGAUUCCCCUAGUAACUGCGAGUGAAGCGGGAAAAGCUCAAAUUUAAAAUCUGGCGGUCUCGCGGCCGUCCGAGUUGUAAUCUGGAGAAGCGUCUAUCCGCGUCGGACCGUGUACAAGUCUUCUGGAAGGGAGCGUCAUAGAGGGUGAGAAUCCCGUCUUUGACACGGACAACCGAUGCUUUUGCGAUGCGCUCUCGAAGAGUCGAGUUGUUUGGGAAUGCAGCUCAAAAUGGGUGGUAAAUUCCAUCUAAAGCUAAAUAUUGGCGAGAGACCGAUAGCGAACAAGUACCGUGA
rnacentral:misc_RNA from 1 species